UAAAAGGCAGCAGUGUAAAUUUGACAUUGCGUGUAGCAGUCAGCUUUGCGCAUUGUAAUUGGAGGGGACAGAGGAGUUGUUUAUUCAGAGGGGAGAAUGGUGCUAUGAAUUUCAGGUGUGAGAUUAAAAAAUAACUAGACUUCGUUUUAAAACCUCUUUCUCCUUCAUUCCUCUUCAGUUCAGCCGGAGCCAGUCCUUACUGAAGCUCUUUGUGAAGGAGAGAGAUCGCUGAUCAAACUCCUGUUCCGUGCGGGGGAGGCCAGCGCUUCUGGACUCCAGAUGUGACUCUGAGAGCCUCUCACUGCCCCAUCUCCAGCAGUGAUUCCUCUGCGGGUCUCACCAACCCUGGGAAACGGGGCAGGAGAAGGCCAAGAGCGUGGUUCUUCUGAAGCCCUUCCAUCAGGCUGUGGAGGAGGCUGCAGGCUGAGCUGGCUGUGCCUGGGCUGCAGGGCAGUGCUGGAGCUCCUUUAACUUCCAGGCGGGGUGUUUUCCAUUUCAUCGACAUGAUCUGGAUGCCAACGAAAUGAAGACCAUUUCUGGCGAAGGAAAUGACAGAUUAAAUUAUAGCCAGUCGGCUGUUCCAAGGUUGUUUGGACCUUUUUCUCUUGUUGAAGCCAAGAUAUGUGAGGCAAAUGUAUGACAGAAUGGCUCAACCUUUCCUCAGACAAGAGAUUGCUUUGUUUUCAUCCAAGUCAAAAAGUGAUUGUAGCUUGCAUCCACUGGCCAACUUUGCCUUCUUUCAAGCACCCACUGAAACCUGUGAACAGGGACAAUACAGAGGGAGAAGUCCUGCAGCGAUUAUGACAGGCCAUGUGCCCUCCAGGACUUUCCAAGAUGCACAGUAGUUGGUAAAAAAAAAAAUAAAAAUGCAGUACUGGUUAUAGCUUAUUAUUUAAACUCAAGCUGUAACCUCGUCUCUUGCUUUUCUUCUGUGCUACAGGGAUUCUAGUAGGAUAUAGGAAAGAAAAUAAAAGUGGCAUUUUCUACAGGAAAUGACCCUCGCAAAUAUGUCUCUGCUAAUAAUUACAGAGCUGGUUUUAUUUUGUUCAAUGCACUGCUUUGGUUUUGGAUUCAUAUCAAGAGCAGCAUAUGCUCUCCAAACUAAAAUAUGUGCGUAUCUGAUUUUGGGGAGAAAAAAAAAAUUAAAAAAAAAUAAUAUGUAUAUAUUUAAUUGAUCUCUUCCUACCCUUUUCCCUCCCCCUCAUUCUCUUCCUGCCUCUUUGCCUAUUUCUUUACUAAUUCCAUAAUAGUGUAAGCCCCAUAUUAUGAAAGAAAUCCGAAUUAAUUUAAAUAUAAAAUAUAAAGAAUUGACCUUACAGCAAAACAGAUAACAGAAAAAAAGAGCUAUUUUUUCUCAGUCAAGUGACAGCUUUCUCGUUUAUUAUCAUUUUAACAAAUUAAGUUGCAAAAUUGGCAUUAUUUCAGAACUGUGCAAAAUGUAAUGACUCUAUGAAAUAUAUUGAAGUUCUCAAGUAAUAAAAAUCCCUUAGUUUUGAAGAAGAAUCACUUGAAAUGAUCCUUAAGAAUCCAAAGUUUUUUGUGCCAUCUCUGUACUAUGCUUGCACAAAAUCUAAUGGCAUUUGCUGUGUUAAUCCUGGAUAUCCCAUUGUUUUGGUAUUUGUACUCUAUUAGUUAAAUACAACAUGUGUGAGAAAAUCAAAGGGAAGAGAUGUUGUUAAAAUAGGAGAAAAUAUUUAUCCCUUAGAUGUAAGACAUACUUGUCACCCAAAAUAAAUCUGGCUUAAACUC